AUCCUACUGACGAAUCCCAAAUAGGAUGAAAUAUGUGUCAUGGAU
rnacentral:hammerhead_ribozyme from 1 species